rnacentral:rRNA from 1 species
GUGGGGAAUAUUGCACAAUGGGGGAAACCCUGAUGCAGCGACGCCGCGUGAAGGAAGAAGUAUUUCGGUAUGUAAACUUCUAUCAGCAGGGAAGAAAAUGACGGUACCUGACUAAGAAGCCCCGGCUAAUUACGUGCCAGCAGCCGCGGUAAUACGUAAGGGGCAAGCGUUAUCCGGAUUUACUGGGUGUAAAGGGAGCGUAGACGGCAGUGCAAGUCUGAUGUGAAAGCCCGGGGCUCAACCCCGGGACUGCAUUGGAAACUGUGCAGCUAGAGUGUCGGAGAGGUAAGUGGAAUUCCUAGUGUAGCGGUGAAAUGCGUAGAUAUUAGGAGGAACACCAGUGGCGAAGGCGGCUUACUGGACGAUAACUGACGUUGAGGCUCGAAAGCGUGGGGAGCAAACAGG